rnacentral:rRNA from 1 species
CAGGGAUUACCUCAGUAACGGCGAGUGAAGCGGUAACAGCUCAAAUUUGAAAUCUGGCCUCACGGUCCGAGUUGUAAUUUGUAGAGGAUGCUUCGAGCAUGGUCUGGCCUAAGUUCCUUGGAACAGGACGUCAUAGAGGGUGAGAAUCCCGUAUGCGGCCAGGUGCCUACGCUCAUGUGAAGCUCCUUCGACGAGUCGAGUUGUUUGGGAAUGCAGCUCAAAAUGGGUGGUAAAUUUCAUCUAAAGCUAAAUAUUGGCCAGAGACCGAUAGCGCACANGUAGAGUGAUCNAAAGAUGAAAAGCACUUUGGAAAGAGAGUUAAACAGUACGUGAAAUUGUUGAAAGGGAAGCGCUUGCAACCAGACUUGCGCGCGGCCGAUCAUCCGGUGUUCUCACCGGUGCACUCGGCCGUGCUCAGGCCAGCAUCGGUUUUGGCGGCUGGAUAAAGGCCCUAGGAAUGUAGCUCCUCUCGGGGAGUGUUAUAGCCUAGGGUGCAAUGCAGCCUGCUGGGACCGAGGACCGCGCUUCGGCUAGGAUGCUGGCGUAAUGGUUGUAAGCGGCCCGUCUUGAAACACGGACCAAGGAGUCUAACAUCUAUGCGAGUGUUUGGGUGUCAAACCCAUACGCGUAAUGAAAGUGAACGGAGGUGAGAACCCUUAAGGGUGCAUCAUCGACCGGUCCUGAAGUUUACGGAAGGAUCUGAGUAAGAGCAUAGCUGUUGGGANCCGAAAGAUGGUGAACUAUGCCUGAAUAGGGUGAAGCCAGAGGAAACUCUGGUGGAGGCUCGCAGCGGUUCUGACGUGCAAAUCGAUCGUCAAAUUUGGGUAUAGGGGCGAAAGANUAAUCGAACCAUUGACCUGUAGGAACACUACUAGGUGGUUAAGAGGCGGCUAAAAGUGCCGUCUAGUCCCGACGCCCGGGGCGACACUNUCAAAUUGCGGGAACAUCCUUAGAGCCUAGACUACCGCAGCCUUCCUGAAAGGGGGGUGCGCACCAGGGUAAUGACCUCGGGUAUGGUAAUAACGUCUAGGAUUGGACAAUCCGCAGCCAAGCCCUACGGACCUCGGUCUAUGGGUGCAGUUCAUCGACUAGAUGGCAGUGGGUGGCAGCAAUGCCGCUUAAGAUAUAGUCAGACCCCCGGGAGACCGGGCGGCAGAACGAAGACCGUGGGGGGCGUCCUCUCUGAGAGCCCCGCGGUCCCGAGUCUGCUGGUGGCGUCGCAGCUUGCUGCGGCGC